rnacentral:rRNA from 1 species
AUUGAACGCUGGCGGCAUGCCUUACACAUGCAAGUCGAACGGUAACAGGCCUUCGGAUGCUGACGAGUGGCGAACGGGUGAGUAAUACAUCGGAACGUGCCCGAGAGUGGGGGAUAACGAAGCGAGAGCUUUGCUAAUACCGCAUACGAUCUCAGGAUGAAAGCAGGGGACCGCAAGGCCUUGCGCUCACGGAGCGGCCGAUGGCAGAUUAGGUAGUUGGUGGGAUAAAAGCUUACCAAGCCGACGAUCUGUAGCUGGUCUGAGAGGACGACCAGCCACACUGGGACUGAGACACGGCCCAGACUCCUACGGGAGGCAGCAGUGGGGAAUUUUGGACAAUGGGCGCAAGCCUGAUCCAGCCAUGCCGCGUGCAGGAUGAAGGCCUUCGGGUUGUAAACUGCUUUUGUACGGAACGAAAAGACUCUGGUUAAUACCUGGGGUCCAUGACGGUACCGUAAGAAUAAGCACCGGCUAACUACGUGCCAGCCGCCGCAGUAA